rnacentral:rRNA from 1 species
GCCUGCCCAGUGACAUAGUUUAACGGCCGCGGUACCCUAACCGUGCAAAGGUAGCAUAAUCACUUGUUCCUUAAAUAGGGACUCGUAUCAACGGCAUCACGAGGGCUGUACUGUCUCCUUUCUCCAAUCAGUGAAACUGAUCUCCCCGUGAAGAAGCGGGGAUAAACCUAUAAGACGAGAAGACCCCAUGGAGCUUUAAACCCAUCACGCACCUCUACGCACCCAAAUCAAUAAAGCCUAAGAAGCUUGCGUGUUGGUUUUAGGUUGGGGGGACCGCGGAGCAAAAUUAAACCUCCACGACAGACGGGCUAACACCCUUAUCCAUGAACCACAAUUCUAAGAGCCAAUAAAUUGUUGUCCAAUGACCCAAUUACUUGAUCAACGAACCAAGUUACCCUGGGGAUAACAGCGCAAUCUACUUCAAGAGCCCCUAUCGACAAGUAGGUUUACGACCUCGAUGUUGGAUCAGGGUAUCCUAGUGGUGCAGCCGCUACUAAAGGUUCGUUUGUUCAACGAUUAAAACCCUACGUGAUCU